rnacentral:lncRNA from 1 species
CCAGUGGGUUAGACAGGGCCAGAGACAAAGCUGGAGAAGAAUAAAGGAAGAGGAAGAAGGGCAGACACUAGGGGGAGAAACGAGGCACAAUUCUCAUUUCUGAGAACUGAUGGGCACUGCUGGGUGAUACGGCAAUGCAGAGCUCUGACUGUGCAUGGGUCUACCGGGCAGGAGUGUAGCCUCGAGGGGACACCUACAAAGUGAGGUUUUGCUCACCCUGUUGUGCUCCAUGAAUCAGGGGUCAAAUACAUGCAUUUAUGCUUCUCACUGAAACACCGAAAAAGCGCAUGAGAUAUUACGAUUCUUCUUGACGUCAUACUUGGCUGAUUUUGCAAGCACGCAUCAGUAAUUACAUUCAUAGGGAGAUGCGCCAACAAGAUCAAAUAACUGAUGGGCUGGGUGGGAAGGGGGAGAAGACAGCAAGAGGGCUGGAAGAGUUGUGAAGACAGGAAAACAGACUGUGACAUCAACCAUUAUGAUGACAGUGUCCUGCAAAAGCCGCUGUCCCCUCUCUUUUCCAUAACGCCAACCAUUCUUUCCAGAGAUGGAGAUCAUCAGCUCUGCUGGCGGCAUACAAGCCUAUCUGGGGAUGCUCCUUUGUUUUCUCACGUUGAAUUCUCCACAAAGGAUGAUGAGGCUCAGCAGUACUCAACUUUAACAAGUAAAAGUGCCCUAAGUGAGGGGCAGGAGCAGUGA